rnacentral:rRNA from 1 species
CGGCGUGCUUAACACAUGCAAGUCGAACGAAGUUUUUAAGAAGAUUUCUUCGGAUUGAAUCUUUUGUGACUUAGUGGCGGACGGGUGAGUAACGCGUGGGCAACCUGCCUCCGUCUGGGGGAUAACAGUUAGAAAUGACUGCUAAUACCGCAUAAGCGCACAUUUCCGCAUGGAAGAGUGUGAAAAACGUUAGUGGACAGAGAUGGACCCGCGUUAGAUUAGCCAGUUGGUGGGGUAAUGGCCUACCAAAGCAAUGAUCUAUAGCCGGCCUGAGAGGGCGACCGGCCACAUUGGGACUGAGACACGGCCCAGACUCCUACGGGAGGCAGCAGUGGGGAAUAUUGGGCAAUGGGGGAAACCCUGACCCAGCAACGCCGCGUGAGGGAAGAAGGUUUUCGGAUUGUAAACCUCUGUCCUUGGUGACGAAGGAAGUGACGGUAGCCAAGGAGGAAGCCCCGGCUAACUACGUGCCAGCAGCCGCGGUAAUACGUAGGGGGCGAGCGUUGUCCGGAAUGACUGGGCGUAAAGGGCGUGUAGGCGGCGGUAUAAGUCUGGAGUGAAAGUCCCGCUUUUAAGGUGGGAAUUGCUUUUGGAGACUGUACAGCUUGAGUGCGGAAGAGGUAAGUGGAAUUCCCCAGUGUAGCGGUGAAAUGCGUAGGGAUUGGGAGGAACACCAGUGGCGAAGGCGACUUAUUGGGCCGUAACUGACGCUGAGGCGCGAAAGCGUGGGGAGCGAACAGGAUUAGAUACCCUGGUAGUCCACGCGGUAAACGAUGAAUGCUAGGUGUAGGGGGUAUCGACCCCUCCUGUGCCGGAGUUAACGCAAUAAGUACCCCGCCUGGGGAGUACGUCGGCAACGAUGAAACUCAAAGGAAUUGACGGGGGCCCGCACAAGCGGUGGAGUAUGUGGUUUAAUUUGACGCAACGCGAAGAACCUUACCAAGGCUUGACAUUGAUUGACCGCAUCAGAGAUGGUGCUUUCCCGUCGGGGACAUGAAAACAGGUGGUGCAUGGCUGUCGUCAGCUCGUGUCGUGAGAUGUUGGGUUAAGUCCCGCAACGAGCGCAACCCCUAUCCUAUGUUACCAGCACGUAAUGGUGGGGACUCAUAGGAGACUGCCAAGGACAACUUGGAGGAAGGCGGGGAUGACGUCAAGUCAUCAUGCCCCUUAUGUCUUGGGCUACACACGUACUACAAUGGUCGGCAACAGAGGGAAGCGAAGCCGCGAGGCAGAGCAAACCCCAGAAACCCGAUCUCAGUUCGGAUCGCAGGCUGCAACCCGCCUGCGUGAAGUCGGAAUCGCUAGUAAUCGCAGGUCAGCAUACUGCGGUGAAUACGUUCCCGGGCCUUGU